CAUGUGGAUCAUCUGUAGAAGGUGAGCAUUAAGUUGUUGCCAGCAGAAGCUUGGACGAUGCCCCUCUCCAGAAAGGUGUCACAGGUAGACACAGAGUCAGGCCAGGUGUAGCUUCUAGGAAGAUAACAGAGGACAUAAAAAUGUGUAUAUGUUUCGUUAUGUUUACGUCUAUCUGUCAAUACAUUUAUCUCUCUAUCCAUCUAUGGGUAUCAGUAAAAUGAUGAUAUAUCAGCUUAAAUAAUGAGAGCACACUAGCUCAAAAAAGCGGGUCAACUUCGCCAAAAUACGAAGAUUGAGCUUUUCCGGUGGUGGCCGUUGUUUCCUUGUGGCGCGAGCACAGCGCGUCGGUUACGAGCUCGAAACUAGCACGCGCGUUUCUUGCCACCUAGGCGGCACAGAUUCAGUCCCUCUACCUGAUCAGAUAAAAUCUGAGUAACCUAAACAUGUGGAGAAGAGGUCUCAUGCCUACAACUUCUCUCCAGCAGAUGCACCGGGGCAGACUGUGGACUGACUUGGUAAAGCUGAGGAAGUUCUUCUGUGCUUUUGGUUCUGGUCACUGAUCUGAGAACUGUUCCCCAGGAUCUAGAAGUGAAUCGUCACCUCCUGCUCAUUAUUGAUCAUGGUUCAGUCAUCAGGCAGGAAGUUGAAAUAAAGAUGGCUGCCAUUAUGGCUGCUGUGUUUCUGCUCCACAGCAAGACCUUGUUCUCCAGUCUCUGCAGCUUCAGUUCAUAUUACUGUUAGAUCCUUGUGCAGAGUGGUGACCACAUGUAGAUUCAUUCAUCCAUCCGAGAGCUUCAGUAGCUUCACUUCACUGUAUUCUUCUUGUGUGUCUUUGAUGGGUUAGUUGUGAACAAGAACAAACCAGAUGAAUAAAUAAUAAUAUGGAACAAGAA